CGGUACGCUGCUAUACUGCAGUCGAGCGGAACCAGAGGAGCUUGCUCCUUCUGGUUUAGCGGCGGACGGGUGAGUAACACGUGGGCAACCUGCCCUGCAGAUCGGGAUAACUCCGGGAAACCGGUGCUAAUACCGAAUAGUUUGCGGCCUCUCCUGAGGCUGCACGGAAAGACGGUUUCGGCUGUCACUGCAGGAUGGGCCCGCGGCGCAUUAGCUAGUUGGUGGGGUAAUGGCCUACCAAGGCGACGAUGCGUAGCCGACCUGAGAGGGUGAUCGGCCACACUGGGACUGAGACACGGCCCAGACUCCUACGGGAGGCAGCAGUAGGGAAUCUUCCGCAAUGGACGAAAGUCUGACGGAGCAACGCCGCGUGAGUGACGAAGGUUUUCGGAUCGUAAAACUCUGUUGUGAGGGAAGAACAAGUACCAACUAACUACUGGUACCUUGACGGUACCUCACCAGAAAGCCACGGCUAACUACGUGCCAGCAGCCGCGGUAAUACGUAGGUGGCAAGCGUUGUCCGGAAUUAUUGGGCGUAAAGCGCGCGCAGGCGGUUCUUUAAGUCUGAUGUGAAAGCCCACGGCUCAACCGUGGAGGGUCAUUGGAAACUGGAGAACUUGAGUGCAGAAGAGGAAAGUGGAAUUCCAUGUGUAGCGGUGAAAUGCGUAGAGAUGUGGAGGAACACCAGUGGCGAAGGCGACUUUCUGGUCUGUAACUGACGCUGAGGCGCGAAAGCGUGGGGAGCAAACAGGAUUAGAUACCCUGGUAGUCCACGCCGUAAACGAUGAGUGCUAAGUGGUUAGGGGGUUUCCGCCCCUUAGUGCUGCAGCUAACGCAUUAAGCACUCCGCCUGGGGGAGUACGGCCGCAAGGCUGAAACUCAAAGGAAAUUGACGGGGGCCCGCACAAGCGGUGGGAGCAUGKGGKUUAUAAAACUCGUCCGUGCACUUUUCCCUUCGGGGACAGUGGUGACAGGUGGUGCAUGGUUGUCGUCAGCUCGUGUCGUGAGAUGUUGGGUUAAGUCCCGCAACGAGCGCAACCCUUGAUCUUAGUUGCCAGCAUUCAGUUGGGCACUCUAAGGUGACUGCCGGUGACAAACCGGAGGAAGGUGGGGAUGACGUCAAAUCAUCAUGCCCCUUAUGACCUGGGCUACACACGUGCUACAAUGGACGGUACAAAGGGUUGCCAACCCGCGAGGGGGAGCCAAUCCCAUAAAACCGUUCUCAGUUCGGAUUGUAGGCUGCAACUCGCCUGCAUGAAGCCGGAAUCGCUAGUAAUCGUGGAUCAGCAUGCCACGGUGAAUACGUUCCCGGGCCUUGUACACACCGCCCGUCACACCACGAGAGUUUGUAACACCCGAAGUCGGUGAGGUAACCCUUGUGGAGCCAGCCGCCGAAGGUACGAG
rnacentral:rRNA from 1 species